UUACUUAAAAAAAAAACCUUGCAAAUAAAAUUGAAAACCAAUAUAAAUUGGCAUGACUUGAUGAGUUUCCAUCAAUUAGGACAAGCAUACAAACACAAUUUCUUAGGAGACCAUUGCAAAUCCAUGCAAUUUUGCUUUGAAGAAAAAAUAUAAUAGAUACCUAAUCCGAUUCCAGAAAAUAUUAAACCGAAUCAAAUAUUUCAAAUGGUCUCUCAAAAUUACACUUCAAAGAAAAAAUGGAACGGCGUUGUUUUCUGCAUAAAUGGGCCAAAUAAACAAAGCGUGUGUUUCGUUUGCACUAACCUGAAUCUUCCCCCUCUGAUUCACAUUGGCGCAUUUCCCUUUGGUUCUCAUUGACGCGGAGGUUGGAAGCGACGUUCAGCAAAAUCUGGCGAGGAGGCUGUUGUUUCUCAGUGGUUGUCGCAGUAUGUAAUUUGUUUGAAGGCUAUUCUUCGCAGCGUUGACAUUGACGUAGGUUCGUCAUCAUCGCUAAAGUGUUACUGAACUGAACCUCUCCAAUUCACAGCGUCUAGUUUUAUUUGGUGAUAAUAAUUUUAUUUGCAGC
rnacentral:lncRNA from 1 species